AGCAAGGGCAAGGCUCUUAGGUCUCCAUUUCUGGAAAUCAAAACUAAGCCUGGGAAAAAGAGAACAAUGGAUGAUAGGCAAGCUUUAUUUGACAUGUGUACAGCAAGGUGUGAUGAAGAGGACCAAAAGCAAUACUUUGUAUCGAUGUAUGGAUACUUUCUAACCCGUGGUGAGCUGCAAUGUCUCCAACGUAGAAGAUGGAUAAACGAUAGGUUUAUGACUAUGGUGGCAAAGACAUUUGUUGG